CCGCAGGUUCCGGGUCAGACAGAGAAUGGACUCACGGCGCAGGGAGAACACUGACUACAACAUCAAUCAGACUUGUUCUCUUUCUUCCCCUGGCCACAUCAGAAGGUUUCCCACAUCGAUGCUUCUGGAACUCAGGAACUGAUCUCCAGGUCAUUUAGAUAGGACUAGAGUCUUCCCUGGAAUGACUGCCUCUGCCCCAGGCUGAAAGCCCUGCCCUGGCCAGGCUAAUUCCCAGAGCGGGCUGCCCCUGGGCGCAGCUGGUUUCCUGAAGCUCCAGCUGCCUCUGAUCCUGUCUGCAGGCCUGGUGCUGUGGCCUCAUCUGUCAGUUGUGUUCUUUCUUUCAGGAUAAUCAUUAAUAAAGGCUGCAGUGUUUUGAAUGAGAGCGUGCAUGUGUGUGUGUGUGUGUGUGUGUCCAGGUAGGACAAAUGCUUCUCAAGGGACGUUCCUUCCCAAUGGAGGAGGUCAAGACGGUUGCCCAGGGCGGCCCCUCCUGCUCCCCUUGGGAACGCAGUGUAUUUGGACUCAGCAGGUAAAUGCUGGUCUUCAUUUCUCAGGUCUUUUUCAUUUGUUCAUAGCCUAGCUGUUCCUAAAGAGAAAUAUUUUAUUCCCCACAUCAAAUCCCCUAAUUCCCUCACCAUCAACGCGUAGCCAGGGAAACUGCACUUCCAGCCAGGCAGCAAACUCAGCUGAGGAAAAUCAGGCCUCAUCAGGCAACAGACCCCACUUAGAAACAGAACUGACACGUCGAAUGACUUGAGCCUGCCGCCUGUUGGGGGAUUUACCAUCCACCUGAUCCAGCUCGUGAAAUAAUUUCCCUGAGUCAGCUUUCAAGUCCCAGCCUGCCCUCGUCCCAUCUUGUCCCACAUCCAGACGAGCCAUGAGAAUGCCCUGGCUCUCCCUCCCCUGGUGCCAGGGAGAAGUUCUAAGCCUGCAGCUCUGCGUGUGGGAAUCUUCAGCCCAGCUCCACCCCUAAGUGCAAUAAAACCCAAAGCCAGUUGCCCCGGCUUGCUCUCUCAAGCCAUCUUUGGACCUGCCUGAGAGUCUGCCCCGCUCCCUCCAGAAAGCCUCAUCCUGUGACUAACGAAUCUCUGCACCCUUUCUUGGCGCCUGUGUGGGGGAGGGGAGAGGGUGGAUGUCACCCUGCUGUGCCAUCGUAAGACACAGAAAUUCUUGAGAUCAGGCAGACCUACUCAAAAGUCAACAGGCAUAACUGAGGGAAGUUCAGACACUCAGUCAAGACCUGUGAUUCGGCUCCUGGUUAGAAGAUAAAUGGAAUGAACUAGAAGCUCACUAAUUUCACAACUUCUACACCCAUCACUACAUCACUACGUUAAAUUCCCACCCAUUUACUCUUGACAGUCCUGCUAACAUAUAUCAAAAAAAGGAAUUCAAACAAGAAAAAUGCUGUCUGUGCGCAGAUGACUUAUUCUAUUAGCACUACUUGAGCAUGAAAUAAAUGGAAGCGCCUGAGAUAUCUAACUCUAAAGAGGAAAAUGAGUAAAAUAUUAUUUCAUUAAAAAAAUAGAAUAAUUUACCACUAUCCAAAUAUCAUAAUUACGGUGACAAUUAAAUGGAAGAGUGCUUACUUCGUUAGACUGGACAUUACAUUGCAAAUAUUCAACCUGUUUUGACUUAGAGGGCUGUCAGUUUCAUGGGGUUCAAACUUAAAGUUUGUGGAAAAAGCGGGACGCUGCAGUCUUCACUGUCAUUGCAGUGGGAAACUGUGAUGUGAUUUUACAUAUGUUUGUGAACAAAGGCGGGAGAGGAAAUAGCAAAAUGGAGAUGUCAACUGUUUGGUUCAAUGGUAGUUGGAAUUUUUCCUCAGAAAAAGUGUCUGUUCCUUUAUUGUAUAUUAUUCUCCAUUUAAAAAAGAUGUAUUCAUUAUAUAACUGCCAUUUGGAAAAGGAUUAACAUGCCACUUUGUAUCCCAUUUAUGUGGGCUGCAUGGGUUAUUGAGUGCUUUCCCUACUCAAAUCCUUUUGGCAUUAGGAGGUAGAGAGAAAACUCUUAAAAUUUGUAAUUCACCAUCGACAUGAGGUCAGCGAGCAGACAACGCAGCUGAGAGAGUUGAAUGUCCAUGAGGAAUAAUAAAAUGUGUAUCUGGUGACCUCAUUGACGGAUUGUGCUAGAAACUGGCUUAGAUGCUCAGCGACACUUUUCUCUUUCUGGCCUCCCGGGAGGACAGCAUAGCCCAGACUCCCAUGUGUUUAACUUGGAUCAUGCAAAUAACUUGUUGCCGUUGGAAAGUGAGAAGUAACUGUGAAAUCGUGUCUUCGUCAGGCUUCCUCACGUGGGCUCCUUCCUGGGGAGGGGGCUUCUUGUUCCUCAGGGGUUCCAGUUUUCCCACCUCCCCUGGAUUUAGUCCUCUGUUGGGGUUGCAGGCUCACAUGAUGGCCAGACAGUGUCUUCAUUAGGGUGGGACUCAGUGACCCUGAACCACUGGCCGUCAGGCUGGUCGUCUCCUGUUCACACAUUUGGGCCUGGGUCUGGCUGCCAUCAUGGCCAGAAGGGAGGCAGGGGCAGGUGCUGCCCUGGUUCCUGAGACUAAGACAUGGAUAACAGCCUGUCAGCUUACGUCACAAUCUUGAAAACAUGUUGACUACACUCUCCACUUUUGCCUGAGGGUGAUACCGACCCUGAUAUCAGUUUCCUCACAUUAAACCCAGCAUACAUGGAGUUAAAACCAAAACCCUCAUUCCCUGCUUACUCCCUGGCUUCCUGGCUCCAGAAUCCACUAUUCCGCCAUGGAGACAGACACCUUCAAGGACAAGCACCUGGAUUCAUUAUCUCCUCCCCACAAAGAGAUACAGGCUGGUGGGAAAGCUGCUGACCAGCAAGGUCAUGGGCUCCCUCCUCUCUGCAAGUGUCUCAAGGCCAAAGACAGGCUGGUAGGAAAGUUCUGACCAGCAAGACCAUACACUCCCUCUCCCCUACC
rnacentral:lncRNA from 1 species